CUCCCCCAAUGGGACCCACCUUGUCGUGGUGGGGGAGCUUGCCGGCUCAGGUAUUCAAUAUCUGAGUCUCACUAAGAGGUCC
rnacentral:ribozyme from 1 species